UAAAUUUCCCAUGGCAAACUGCUCAGUAACACAUGAUCAACUUACCCUAUAGAGAAGAAUAACCUCGGGAAACUGAGGAUAAUGCUUCAUACUUGAAAAGGCUUGGAAAAGUUUUUCAAUGAAUGGGAAAGGGAAAAUGGUUUCUUUCCGCUAUAGGAUAGGAUCGUGGUCGAUUAUGGUUGUUGGUGAGGUAAAGGCUCACCAAGCCGAUAAUCGAUAGGGGCCGUGAGAGCGGGAGCCCCGAGAUGGGUACUGAGACAACGACCCAGGCCUUACGAGGCGCAGCAGGCGCGAAACCUCCGCAAUACACGCAAGUGUGACGGGGUUACCCAAAGUGUUCAUAGAUGAACUGUGGUAGGUGAGUAAUGUCCCCUACUAGAAAGGAGAGGGCAAGGCUGGUGCCAGCCGCCGCGGUAAAACCAGCUCUUCAAGUGGUCGGGAUAAUUAUUGGGCUUAAAGUGUCCGUAGCCGGUUUAUUAAGUUCCUGGUAAAAUCGGGUAGCUUAACUAUCUGUAUGCUAGGAAUACUGAUAUACUAGAGGGCGGGAGAGGUCUGAGGUACUAUAUUGGGUAGGGGUGAAAUCCUAUAAUCCUUUUAGGACCACCAGUGGCGAAGGCGUCAGACUGGAACGCGCCUGACGGUGAGGGACGAAAGCCAGGGGAGCGAACCGGAU
rnacentral:rRNA from 1 species